rnacentral:rRNA from 1 species
UACGAACUGUGCAAACGUUAUUCGGAAUCACUGGGCUUAAAGGGUGCGUAGGCGGCUGCCUAAGUCAGGUGUGAAAUCUCUCGGCUCAACCGGGAAACUGCGCUUGAUACUGGGCGGCUCGAGUGAGGUAGGGGUGUGUGGAACUUCCGGUGGAGCGGUGAAAUGUGUAGAUAUCGGAAGGAACGCCAGCAGCGAAAGCGGCACACUGGGCCUUUUCUGACGCUGAGGCACGAAAGCCAGGGGAGCGAACGGG